AUCAGUGCUUAGGACACCCUGAACAUGCCCGAUCUCGUCUGAUCUCGGAAGCUAAGCAGGGUCGGGCCUGGUUAGUAUUUGGAUGGGAGACCACCUAGGAAGACCGGGUGCUAUAGGCU
rnacentral:rRNA from 1 species